CUUCUAAAGCUAAAUAUUGGCCAGAGACCGAUAGCGCACAAGUAGAGUGAUCGAAAGAUGAAAAGCACUUUGAAAAGAGGGUUAAAUAGCACGUGAAAUUGUUGAAAGGGAAGCGUUUGCGACCAGACCUUUUCCUAGCGGAUCAUCCGGUGUUCUCACCGGUGCACUUCGCUAAGUUUAGGCCAGCAUCGGUUUCUGUAGGGGGAUAAAAGCUCUGGGAACGUAGCUCCUCCGGGAGUGUUAUAGCCCUCUGCAUAAUACCUUUACGGGGACCGAGGACCGCGCUUCGGCAAGGAUGCUGGCGUAAUGGUCGUCAACGACCCGUCUUGAAACACGGACCAAGGAGUCGAACAUUUGUGCGAGUGUUUGGGUGUUAAACCCUCACGCGUAAUGAAAGUGAACGGAGGUGAGAGCCCUUACGGGUGCAUCAUCGACCGAUCCUGAUGUCUUCGGAUGGAUUUGAGUAAGAGCAUAACUGUUCGGACCCGAAAGAUGGUGAACUAUGCGUGGAUAGGGUGAAGCCAGAGGAAACUCUGGUGGAGGCUCGCAGCGGUUCUGACGUGCAAAUCGAUCGUCAAAUCUGCGCAUGGGGGCGAAAGACUUAUCGAACCAUCUAGUAGCUGGUUACCGCCGAAGUUUCCCUCAGGAUAGCAGUGUUGUUCUUCAGUUUUAUGAGGUAAAGCGAAUGAUUAGGGACUCGGGGGCGCUUUUUUGCCUUCAUCCAUUCUCAAACUUUAAAUAUGUAAGAAGCCCUUGUUACUUAAUUGAACGUGGGCAUUCGAAUGUACCAACACUAGUGGGCCAUUUUUGGUAAGCAGAACUGGCGAUGCGGGAUGAACCGAACGCGGGGUUAAGGUGCCGGAGUGGACGCUCAUCAGACACCACAAAAGGUGUUAGCACAUUUAGACAAUAGGACGGUGGCCAUGGAAGUCGGAAUCCGCUAAGGACUGUGUAACAACUCACCUAUCGAAUGUGCUAGCCCUGAAAAUGGAUGGCGCUCAAGCGUCCCACCCAUACCUCGCCCUCAGGGUAGAAACGAUGCCCUGAGGAGUAGGCGGCCGUGGGGGUCAGUGACGAAGCCUAGGGCGUGAGCCCGGGUCGAACGGCCUCUAGUGCAGAU
rnacentral:rRNA from 1 species